rnacentral:rRNA from 1 species
GCCCGCGGCCUAUCAGCUUGUUGGUGGGGUAGUGGCCUACCAAGGCUUCGACGGGUAGCCGGCCUGAGAGGGUGACCGGCCACACUGGGACUGAGACACGGCCCAGACUCCUACGGGAGGCAGCAGUGGGGAAUAUUGCACAAUGGGCGGAAGCCUGAUGCAGCGACGCCGCGUGAGGGAUGACGGCCUUCGGGUUGUAAACCUCUUUCAGCAGGGACGAAGCGCAAGUGACGGUACCUGCAGAAGAAGCACCGGCCAACUACGUGCCAGCAGCCGCGGUAAUACGUAGGGUGCGAGCGUUGUCCGGAAUUAUUGGGCGUAAAGAGCUCGUAGGCGGUGUGUCGCGUCGGCCGUGAAAACCUGGGGCUUAACUCUGGGCUUGCGGUCGAUACGGGCAAACUGGAGUUCGGCAGGGGAGACUGGAAUUCCUGGUGUAGCGGUGAAAUGCGCAAAUAUCAGGAGGAACACCGGUGGCGAAGGCGGGUCUCUGGGCCGAUACUGACGCUGAGGACGCAAAGGUGGGGAGCGAACAGGAUUAAUACCCUGGUAGUCCACCCGUAAACGUUGGGCGCUAGGUGUGGGGGCCAUUCCACG